rnacentral:tRNA from 1 species
GCGCCCGUAGCUCAGGGGUAGAGCAUCCGCCUUUUAAGCGGGUGGCCGUGAGUUCAAAUCUCACCGGGCGCA